AGGGCUGCCACCAUCCAUCUUGGUGGAGGAAGAUGUCUCACACAGGACAAAUCACACAGACGAAGAGCGCCGAGCCAAGAAUGAGCACCUGGAAGAAGAGCUGCAAAUCCAGAAGAGACAGAUGGAGCUCAACAAGACACAGUUUCAUCUCAAGUUGGAGCAGCUCUCCAAGGAGAAAGGAGAUGUGGAGGCUGCGCUCAAGGAUGUCCUCCGGGCUUUGAAGGCCAAGGAGACCAGUCCGUCUG